GGAUGUGAGGGUGAUCUGGCUGUGACAUCUGUCACCCCAUUGAUCACCAGGGUUGAUUCAGCUGAUCUGGCUGGCUAGGCAGUUGUCCCCUUUCUCCCUCGUUGGUGCAUUUGCGUCCCUCAUGAAGCUGUACACUCAGUUGGAAAGGACGACCUUCCCUGAAUAGAAGAGGACCUGUCUUCAGUCAAGGGUAUAGUAGCUGUGCUCCCCUUCUAGAACCUCUAAACAAGUUCUCACGGCCCACUUAAAAUACUUAUAUUUUAAAUAUAUUUAAAAUUCCUUCUUU
rnacentral:snRNA from 1 species